UGUUCCCAAAGUCACUCGCCUUCUCUGUUGACGCGCGGUAUUCCCGAGCACGGUGUUUACAUGACUGUGUUUACGUGAGCCUUUUCUCCUUUUCUGUAUACAAAACUACACGUACGCACGAAAAACCAGCGACAUAGUUUCAAUACGCGCAGUGCGAUUCACAUUUCAUGAUCUUCCGUAACCUCACAAAUUCGUUCCUCGGCUAACCUAAGCGCCAAUUUUUCCAAGCUCUUGGGCUUACAGAGCUGGCACAAAAUCGGCCCUAAGACUUAACCUAAACUGACAAGUUCUACCGCCUCAACGCGUUAUUCCCGCCUCUUCAAACAAUCAAUAAAGUGAAAAUAAUGCGUACACAGUUAGUGGAAUAACUCAAUGACAUGUGUUGAAGCCGUUCUGCAAGCUGCUGCGUAUAUAUGAACCGCAAGGGUGACUACAGAUGAUACAGUGCGCGAAGAAAGGACUCCGCAAGAAUUACAACGAGCAGUUUGAUGUCUCCGCGUGUCGAACUCUCAGAUUUAUCGCCGAAACGGGUACGAUACACAAGGUCCUAUCAUAUUCCUAAUAUAAGCAUAACAGCAGGACGAGAGGAAAGGGGAUAGGAAAGAGGAGAAUGAAGUACGAGGAGGAGGAGAAGGAAAGAUACCGAUGUCUAAGAUCGCACAAUGCGCCAUCAACAUAGCCGACUGCCAUUCUCCCCCGCUUCUCGUAUCGCCCGCUUCGUAACUCUCGUUGGAAUAGCCAUCUUAUAUUCCACUCCGUUAUAUUCUCGUAUCUGCGCUCUACCUCGCGACCCGUCCCUCGUCCCUUGCCGAGGAUUACCUUUCUUAUUUACCCGCGAGUACAAGAUUGCGAAGUUGCGGUAGAACGGACGAUCGAGACAAUGACGGGAUGAAGCUCCACGUGAAAACUUCGAGACGGAUCAUAAAUCCUAGAAUGUCGAUGUCGCCGUCGUGGCCGACAAGUUCGACUUCGCAGAACCGAUACAGGGCCCGGUCAUCGAACUCUUUCCUUCGCGAGAGUUCCUCUCGCGCUAACCUCUGAAAAAUCUACACUGAGAGAAAAAUAUCUACGCGGGGGAAAGAGUUUGAUUGGAUCAAGUAAAAAUUUCUAAUAAAAUAUCAACGAACCAGAAAUUCCGCUUCGAGUUACCAGAAUUUUUGUUUGACUUAACAAGAUCUCCGGUUGGCUCCAACAGUAUCAGUCGGAAUUUUCUGGUUCAUUUAUAUUCUAUCAGUUA